CUAUGCCCCACGAGCAUCUCUAAGAUCCCAUGACCCACACCAUCCUCCAUCUGGCUCCUUCUCGUCUCUGUCUGGGCUCUAUGACUUCCUUAUGGAUCCUCCUGUGACUUUUCCAUGAAAGCUGCCAUUGGUUCUUGGCCUCCCGCAGUGUCCCUCCUACCCUUCAGUGCACACCUCCAUUGCCUCCAAGUUUCUGUGUGCACACCUCCAUUGCCUCCAAGUUUCUGUGCCACUCUCUGGCUGCUCUUCACCCUCGUGUUCUGGCUGCUUCUGUCAGACAAGCAGGUCUAAUCUGGGACAAUCCCUGAUGACCUCAGUCUUAGUGGAGCUGCUCCACUGCUGUAUAACUGUCCCAUUUCUGAAGCUCCAAUCCAUGGAACCACGCAUGGGAGAGACAGUCUGCCUGGUGAUUGUGGCUCCUGGCUCUCGAGUUCAUUCUGGGCCCCACUGGGGUGGCCAAUCCCUUCCUGCCAAAGCUCAUGGGGAUAGGCUGUCAGAGCUGCUGCCUGGAGAAGGAUCCUGCCAAGGACGAAUCCCCAUUGCCUCUGUACCACCCUGUAGGCCUAAGGAGGAGGGACAGGCUGCUGACUUCUGGCCCUUGGACUAGUGCUGGAGUCAGCCACAAAGAAAUUCCCCAGGGAUUGGAGAGACCUUUGUGGUGUGGACUCCGCCUCCAGAUGGACACGUGAUCAGGCCUGGCCAAUGAGAGCACCGCAUCUCCAUAGCGCUAUACAGAUAUUCCUUGACCUGGGAUAAGUCAUGAUAAAUUCACUGUUAGCUGAAGAUACUGUAAGUAAAAAAUGCAUCCAGUGUACCUAACAUCAAAAGGCCCUCCUUAGCAGCACAGCAUACGGCAGCGCAUUGGUGGUUUCUCCCGUCAGUCUUGGCUGCUUUGGCUCGCUGCCACAGGCCAGCAUUGCUUUUUGUGAGACCAGGAACUAAUCAGUGUCCAAGACUCAAAGUAUGUUUUGUACCAAAUGCGUAUCAUCGUCAGCACAUUCACAUUGUUGUGAGGUACAAAGAUUGUCAGCCGAGCCAUGGUGACUUGGGCAAGCUGCAUUUCAUUGAAGGAUGGGUAUGUGGCAAAUUUGGAUCACUGGGAGGGGAUUCUGGGGGAUUUCUGUUUUGUCAUCACAGAAGAAUGCUAAUUGUAACCUGCUAGAUAUGAGGUUGUGUGUAAGCAUCUUGAGAUAUGUGAAUGGCUAAGCAGACAACUGUACUGGUGUUAACAGUGUUUCUAACCCCUCAAGAUGCAGACGGCCAAGCUUUGCCCUACAGACUAAAAAAUUUUUUUAACUUAAAAUAAAUAAAUAAAUAAAUAAAUAAAUAAAUAAAGCUCAAUAUCAGGUCACAAAAUCAUACCAAUCCCUGAGCUUGCCCCAAGAUCAGGCCACAAACCCCCACCAAUCCCAGGCCACCCUGGAAAUCUACACACACACACACACACACACACACACACACACACACACACACAAACCCCUACCUCUAUGAAAAGCUUUCCCCUUUCUCACUGUGUCUUUCCUUAGCAGAGGCAGUCACUUUCUGUACGAGGUUUGUUGUUCAGUGUGACUUUGUGGUAUUCCUUGGAUCCCGACUGUCAGGAUACCUUUUCCCUCAGAACUGUAAUUUUACAAUACGUAUUUGGGAUUGUGGGUAACUUCAGGGCACCUGGGCUGGAAGGGGGGACCAAAACAUGGACGACAGCAGACCCCAGAGCUAGAGGUAAGUGAUGAUGAGGUGAUCUCGCUUGAACUCCUGGAUCCAGCUGAGCCUGGAGGCGGAUUUUGGCACAAAGAUCUCUGGUCUCUGGGCAUAUGCAUUUCUUUCCUCUUAGGGGAAAGUCUGUUUCUUUUGAGGGAGCCGGGUAUGAAAUCCACAGUAGUGGCGAUGUGUGUUGUGAUGAAUGGAUGGUCUGUGAUGAUGGGUGGUAAAUGGGUGAUCCUUGGUGGUGAGUGGUGAUUGGUGGUGAUGGGUAUUGAGGACCCACAGACUUUGGGAUGAAAAGCUGGAGUCCUUCUUAAACAGAAGUGACCUUCUGUAAGUUUCUCAUGGAAGUAGUAAGCACAAGUUGAAAUAGGCUCACUCACAAACACAUGACAUUUACUUUAGGCUUUGCUUCGAGAAUCACUUCAUGCCUGUGACCUGCAGUCUAUGACAGCUGUGGAUCAGAGAGGAGGACGCCUGCAGGGGUGCAAAGCUGAGUGAAGGCACAUUGCCUGGAAAUACUUGGAUUCCCCAGGGUCUCCCCAGGUCCCCACAGUGAGCUUCCUUCUUCAGGAAAAAGGAUGCUCAUGGGGUCAGAGAGCUUAGUCAUCUCCUCCCAUCAUCUGGGUCAUCAUUCCAGGUAUCUUUGGGUGGUGGAGGGGGUACUAGCUGUAUCAUAGACAUAAGUCAUCCAACUCUAAGAGGUCACAUCCCAAGCUGAGAAGUGGAGAGAGGACCGAGGUAGGAGAAGCUUGAGGUGGGGGAGGAAAAAAGGUACAGCAUGAGGCCCAGAGUGGCAGCAUUUAAUUUAUACCCCAUCCUUAGCUUCACGGUUGGGUAUCCAAGCAAGUUACUUCUCACCUUCCUGCCUGUUUCCUCUUUGUAAAAGGGAUUAACCUUGUGGUGUAUAUGCACUCUGGAUCAUCUCUCUUUGGCUGUCCUCUUGCUAUCACUUGGGUACCACAAGGAAGUAAGCACGGGGCAAAGAAGGGGUGAUAUCAAGCAUGCCUGACCUUGUGUGGGUUCUAGGCUCACACCUAAACCCAGCCUGUGGCUCCCGGUCACUUAACAGAAAAUACAUGUGCUGUAUACUGAAGGGAACUGAAAGGACCGUCCCCAGUCACGUUCAAUCAGUACCUGCCAGCUGAUAUGCCUACUGCAUGUGCUAACCACUGGAUCUACAGCUUGGCUCUCAGAAGCCCUCCAUCUGCUGGGAGAACGCAUAGAGUUGUGCAGUGGAGAGAGAACUGAGGUAAGAGGAGUCUGAGGUGGAGGAGGCAGCGGGUAUCCAGGAUAAUAUGGCGGUAUUGUUGGGGGAGGUAAGCUUCCUGGGUUAUAGAACAUCUUAGCCGAGUCCUGGACGAGCCUGAGACCAACUGCAGCAGGGAGAGAAAAAUUAGCCAGUCCUGAAGGGAUGGCUGGUCUCCCUCUCGCCAGGGAUUUUAAGGAUAAAUGGUAUAACUUUCUGAGGAUGUAGAAUACAGGGUCUAUGCUUGGCUGGAAGACUAAACCAAAUUGUUAAAGCAGGGAGUACAGCCCUAGACACCACCGGGGCUACUGUGCACCAGGGUUAUUACUCUCUAAAACACUGUCACAACCUGAUGGUUUCUCAUCGCUUUGGCUGGGCACAUGCUUUGUUUGGCUCAUGCUGCAUUUCAAAGUGCAUUUGUCAUUGUUGUUGUUUCUUUUAUUGUUACUAUAAUCCAAAACUGAAAAGGCUCACAUGAAAGUCUAAAUUGGGGUCUUCUUAAAAAAAAAAAACACGCACACACAACUCAAGUCUACUAGUACUUGCCCUACAUUCCCCCAGGCCAGCAGUGGACUGGCUCUGAAACCCAGUAGUCUCUGACACAGGACUCUCAUGAUUCUGAGCCCUCUCCAGGUCUCAUCGUUUCUUCUGGUCCCACAGUGGCUCACCUCACCCAGGUCUUUACAACCCCUCACCAGACAGGAAGGAACAGUAGCUUGUGAGCCCUGCUCUACAGCAAGGACUCAACAGAUCUGGAUUAGGCUGUGAGGGCCUCUGGCUGGCAGCCUAUCAAAUGAGCCUGUGGGAGCCAGCGGCCCUUUCUGCUUCUUCUGAGCUGGGGGAGAGUGGUGUGCCUUGGGAGGAGAGGGCAGGUGCCAGGACUUAAGUUUGGGCACUAGGAGCAGGAGUAAGGAUGAGGGCCUUUUCAGUUUAUACCCCUCAAGGCUCCCAAUUUAGCAAAUGGAACUGUUCACAGAGCCCAGUCUAGGUAGCUGGAACUCUGAAUGAGUUUGGGGACACAUGUAGCUGGUAGAGACAAAAGUCCACUUCUCAACUUGUUUUCUCUUCAUGAUUUGCAAUCUGUCAUGUUUUGUCUUGCCAAAGUCAGUCUUGUCAUGUAGCCCAGGCUGACCUUGAACUCACGAGAAUCCUCACCACAUCUCAGGUCCCAAUUCUAUAAAUUAUAGGCAUGGGCAGCCAUGCCCAGUAUGGCCUAUCCUUUUUUACUCAUUUAUUUGUUUUGUUUUGUUUUUGAAAUAGGGUCUCACUAUGCAGCUCUGCCUGUCCUGGAACUUACUAUGUAGACCAGGCUGGCCUUGAACUCACAGGGAUCAACCUGUCUCUGACUCCCAAAUAUAGCUCAUCUUUUUAAGGGACUCCUUAGAAGUGUCAUUCUUGUGUUUCUAGAUUACCAGGAAAGAGUCCAUUAUAAUGGCUUCUUUGUAUGUACAUGUGAGCAUAUGUGUAUGUGUGUGUACAUGUGAAUACAUGUAGGUGUGCAUUGGAGACAUGAAUGAGUAUAGUGUGUAUACUCCUCUUUGAACAUUUAUUUGACACUUGUUCUUUCUGUUUUAGAUGUGGGCUGGAUUUAAGUGUUAUUAAGGUAAAAUCCCCUGCUUAAGUCUGUUUGUGAUGAUCUCACCCAUGGCCUCUCCCCAUCUUUGCCGAGGUGUAAUUUAUGGGCCUAUUUGAAGCAUGGAGAGCUCAGUGAGUUUUGAUGAAUGAAGCCCUCACAAAACCAGCGCCACAAUCAAGAUACCAACUUUCCCAUCACCCCCGAGUGUUCCUGUUUCUCUUUCCUCCUCAAUCUCCCCAUAGCUCCCGGUCCCAGGCAAUCACCCAUCUGCCUUCUCGCCAUGAGAGAUUAGAUUUCUCUUUUCUAGAGGCUCAGAUAAAUGGAAUCAUACAGUGCAUACUCCUUUGUGUCUGUCUCCUUUCACUUUCUGUAUUUUUAGGAUCUAUCCAUUUUGUUGCAUUUAAUAUCAGUCCUUUUUAUUUUUCAGAACAAUAUUCCACUGGUUACAUAGCUACAGUGGGGUUUGUUAAUCCGUUCAUCUGCUGAGGGUGUAUGUUUGGGUUGUUUCCAGUUUGAGGUGUUAGAAAUUAAGUAAGUACAAAUAUGUUUUUACUAGUCUUCAUAUAACUCACAGAUUCCUUCUGUCCUUCCUUUGUUCCUUCUUUUUUUUGAAACAAGAUCUUCAGCUCCUUCUAGAGUACUAUGAUUUUAUUAUCUAUCUGUCUGUCUGUCUGUCUGUCUAUCUAUCUAUCUAUCUACAACGUUU